GGAAUAUUGCACAAUGGGCGAAAGCCUGAUGCAGCAACGCCGCGUGAGCGAUGAAGGCCUUCGGGUCGUAAAGCUCUGUCCUCAAGGAAGAUAAUGACGGUACUUGAGGAGGAAGCCCCGGCUAACUACGUGCCAGCAGCCGCGGUAAUACGUAGGGGGCUAGCGUUAUCCGGAAUUACUGGGCGUAAAGGGUGCGUAGGUGGUUUCUUAAGUCAGAGGUGAAAGGCUACGGCUCAACCGUAGUAAGCCUUUGAAACUGGGGAACUUGAGUGCAGGAGAGGAGAGUGGAAUUCCUAGUGUAGCGGUGAAAUGCGUAGAUAUUAGGAGGAGCACCAGUUGCGAAGGCGGCUCUCUGGACUGUAACUGACACUGAGGCACGAAAGCGUGGGGAGCAAGCAGGA
rnacentral:misc_RNA from 1 species